rnacentral:rRNA from 1 species
CUACGGAGGAUGCAAGCGUUAUCCGGAUUUAUUGGGUUUAAAGGGUGCGUAGGCUGACGUGUAAGUCAGAGGUGAAAUCUCCGGGCUCAACCUGGGAACUGCCUUUGAUACUGCAUGUCUGGAGUUCGGAUGCCGUGGGAGGAAUGGGCAGUGUAGCGGUGAAAUGCAUAGAUAUUGCCCAGAACACCGAUUGCGAAGGCAUCUCACGAAUCCGACACUGACGCUGAGGCACGAAAGCGUGGGGAUCAAACAGGAUUAGAUACCCUGGUAGUCCACGCAGUAAACGAUGAUAACUAACCGUCGGCGAUAGACAGUCGGUGGCCAAGCGAAAGCGAUAAGUUAUCCACCUGGGGAGUACGUUCGCAAGAAUGAAACUCAAAUGAAUUGACGGGG